AACACAUGCGCGUUCAAGGUGGUGGCGGAUUCACGAACUAUUAAGAAUUCCCAGGAAAAAACGUAAACAAAACUUACAGAACGAAAUGGAAAGCCUGCGACUGAUGAUUUAUCGCCAAAUUGUCGCCUGCGGUUUCCACGAACAAGUGCUGCAGAAGGGGUUGCCCUGGCUUUCGUAGCCCUCGUCUAUGCACGCAUCGCCAACUGGCUGUUCAACGGACUCCUUACCUUGAAAGAUCACGCUGCCGCUGCAAUUGGAUUUGGCCUGCCCCAACCGAACUUGCCACCGCCUAACCUUGCUUGGGGGAUCUUCAACAGGCAAAUUUUUAUUCCGUUUGGCCUGUCACCCCAAACCACAGCAGCGCUAGCAAAUAGAAACUUUCUUGUUCUUGCCCAGCACGACACGUUGAACGAGUUGACCCUUGUGUUGCUUUUGAACCGGCUGAUUUUCCAUUUCCGAGACGGGCGCAACGAAACGAGACGGAUUUUGGCUGCCGCCAUGGGAGGUGCGACCUUGUCCUUUUUAGCUACUGAAGCAGACAACCGGACAGUCUUAGACAUGGCAUUCAACUUCGAAGAGCAUGAGCAUUAUGGACAUCUGUGAAGAGGAGAAUUUGGUCGUGUGCCCACGAAUUUCAUGGCAGCUUUAGCCACUAUGCUAGGAAUGGGCCUUGGCAUCAAUGCUCAGCGUCCUGUACUGCAGGAAGCAUUGGACCAAAGACUGAAUAAUUAGCUCAGAUGUUCCUCUUCGUUGUUGUUGUUGUUGACCAAAGCUGACAAGAAAAAAAUGAAGACCCUCACCAGCAAAACCGUCACUUUGGAAGUCGAGCCCUUCUAUUGAUCCUGUGUCCACGAGGUGGCAUGAAAACUUUCGUCAAGUCUGAUGUUCUGGGGCUGAAAUUCAACUGGGAAGUGGCUCUCACGUAAUUAGAUGCAGCAGACAAUGGCCACACACAAGGAGUCUGUUGACUGGUCCUGGCCUCAGGCGGUUGCUGAGAGCGCAAAGUCUGGCUGGCAACUCUGGCAAGUCUGCACUGACAGGUUCGCUGUGGAGCUGGUCUUCAGUUGAUAAAAUUAAUUCAAUGGAGAGUGAUAAUUUUAAAAUUCAAGCAAUGUAUAAGCGCUUGCCUCUCAGUCGCUAAAGAAAUAUGAACAGUUUAAUUUCAAAUCUUUUUUAGCAUAUUUAUUUAUUUUUUAGUUGUAAAGUAUGUUUAAUGUUACGCUAAAAAACGUUAACGCAUCUGGCGCGGCUAUUACAAAAAGAAAACAAAAUCUAAAAUUGGUUAAAAACCAACUCAUUUCUUCUGUGUGGAUUUUUUUUUUAGACCAAGUGAUUUUCAAUUUUACUUAAAUAAUCACCCUAUGAUUAAUUUAUGCUAAAAGCCAAAUCCGCAUUAAACCUUUUUACGGUUUUCAUAUUUGUUCCGAGAUCAGCAUGUCUACGUUUCUCUAUAUUUUUUUUUUUAAAGCUAGAUUUGAAAACAUUACAACUUUUAUUAUGUAUUUCACAAUUAAUAACAUUGGUAAUGCAUGAUAAGCAAUUUUACUCAUUUUAUGAGUUAGCUACAAUGUUAUUAACAAUACAAAAAAUUGUCACUGCAACUUGCGCAGCUAACCAAUCUGCAAACACCAUGUGCCACCUUCAACUCCACCAGCGCAUCCCCUGAAUGUGCAACGAAUAAUAAAUAAAUUCAUUCUAUGUCACAAUUAAAAUU